AGCACCUCGAGUGGUCAGGAGGUUUAUUGGGCCUAAAGCAUCCGUAGCCGGUUGUUUAAGUUUUCGGUUAAAUCUAUGCGCUUAACGUAUAGGCUGCCGAAAAUACUGGACAGCUAGGGAGUGGGAGAGGUACACGGUACUCGAUAGGAAGGGGUAAAAUCCUUUGAUCUGUUGAUGACCACCUGUGGCGAAGGCGGUGUACCAGAACACGUUCGACGGUGAGGGAUGAAAGCUGGGGGAGCAAACCG
rnacentral:rRNA from 1 species